rnacentral:rRNA from 1 species
CCUACGGUAGGCAGCAGUGGGGCAUAUUGCACAAUGGGGGAAACCCUGAUGCAGCGACGCCGCGUGAGUGAAGAAGUAAUUCGUUACGUAAAGCUCUAUCAGCAGGGAAGAAACACUGACCUUACGGUCAGCAGACGGUACCUGAGUAAGAAGCCCCGGCUAACUACGUGCCAGCAGCCGCGGUAAUACGUAGGGGGCAAGCGUUAUCCGGAUUUACUGGGUGUAAAGGGAGCGUAGGGGGAAUGCCAAGUCAGCGGUAAAAUCGCGGGGCUCAACCUCGCUCCGCCGUUGAAACUGGCGUUAUUGAGUGGGCGAGAAGGAUGCGGAAUGCGUGGUGUAGCGGUGAAAUGCAUAGAUAGCACGAAGAACUCCGAUGGCGAAGGCAGCAUACCGGCGCCCAACUGACGCUGAAGCACGAAAGCGUGGGUAUCGAACAGGAUUAGAUACCCCUGUAGUC